UAGUCCACGCCGUAAACGAUGAUCACUCGCUGUGUGCGAUAUAUAGUACGCGGCUGAGCGAAAGCAUUAAGUGAUCCACCUGGGGAGUACUGUCGCAAGAUUGAAACUCAAAGGAAUUGACGGGGGCCCGCACAAGCGGAGGAACAUGUGGUUUAAUUCGAUGAUACGCGAGGAACCUUACCUGGGCUUAAAUGUAGAGUGCUUUUCACCGAAAGGUGAUUUUCCUUCGGGACGCUUUACAAGGUGCUGCAUGGUUGUCGUCAGCUCGUGCCGUGAGGUGUCGGGUUAAGUCCCAUAACGAGCGCAACCCUUACCGUUAGUUGCCAUCGGGUCAUGCCGGGGACUCUAGCGGGACUGUCAGUGUAAACUGUGAGGAAGGUGGGGAUGACGUCAAAUCAGCACGGCCCUUAUGCCCAGGGCUACACACGUGUUACAAUGGCCGGUACAGAGGGCCGCUACUACGCAAGUAGGAGCCAAUCCCCAAAGCCGGUCCCAGUUCGGAUCGAAGU
rnacentral:rRNA from 1 species